rnacentral:rRNA from 1 species
UGGGGAAUAUUGCACAAUGGAGGAAACUCUGAUGCAGCGAUGCCGCGUGAGGGAAGAAGGUUUUCGGAUUGUAAACCUCUGUCUUCAGGGACGAAAAUGACGGUACCUGAGGAGGAAGCUCCGGCUAACUACGUGCCAGCAGCCGCGGUAAUACGUAGGGAGCGAGCGUUGUCCGGAAUUACUGGGUGUAAAGGGAGCGUAGGCGGGGCUUUAAGUCAGGUGUGAAAUGUAUGGGCUCAACCCGUAAACUGCACUUGAAACUGAGGCUCUUGAGUGAAGUAGAGGCAGGCGGAAUUCCUAGUGUAGCGGUGAAAUGCGUAGAUAUUAGGAGGAACAUCAGUGGCGAAGGCGGCCUGCUGGGCUUUUACUGACGCUGAGGCUCGAAAGCGUGGGGAGCAAACA